rnacentral:rRNA from 1 species
GACGAACGCUGGCGGCGUGCUUAACACAUGCAAGUCGAACGGAAAGGCCCUGCUCUUGUGGGGUGCUCGAGUGGCGAACGGGUGAGUAACACGUGAGUAACCUGCCCUUGACUUUGGGAUAACUUCAGGAAACUGGGGCUAAUACCGGAUAGGAGCUCCUGCUGCAUGGUGGGGGUUGGAAAGUUUCGGCGGUUGGGGAUGGACUCGCGGCUUAUCAGCUUGUUGGUGGGGUAGUGGCUUACCAAGGCUUUGACGGGUAGCCGGCCUGAGAGGGGGACCGGCCACAUUGGGACUGAGAUACGCACCAGACGGCUACGGGAGGCAGCAGUGGAGAAUAUUGCACAAUGGGCGGAAGCCUGAUACAGCGACGCCGCGUGCGGGAUGACGUCCUUCGGGUUAUAAACCGCUUUCGCCGGUGACGAAGCGUGAGUGACGGUAAUGGGUAAAGAAGCACCGGCUAACUACGUG